rnacentral:rRNA from 1 species
GCUUGUCUCAAAGAUUAAGCCAUGCAUGUCUAAGUAUAAACUGCUUAUACUGUGAAACUGCGAAUGGCUCAUUAAAUCAGUUAUAGUUUAUUUGAUGGUACUUUCUACUCGGAAUAACCGUAGUAAUUCUAGAGCUAAUACAUGCACAAAUUCCCGUCAGGGAUGUAUUUAUUAGAUUGAAACCAAUGCGGGGUAACCCGGUGUUUGGUGAUUCAUAAUAACUUUCGGAUCGCAUUUGCGAUGCAUCAUUCAAGUUUCUGCCCUAUCAGCUUUGGAUGGUAGGGUAUUGGCCUACCAUGGCAUUAACGGGUAACGGAGGAUUUGGGUUCGAUUCCGGAGAGGGAGCCUGAGAAAUGGCUACCACAUCCAAGGAAGGCAGCAGG